CUAUGUGUUGUUGGGUAGGGGAGCGUUCUGUAAGCCUGUGAAGGUGGCCUGUGAGGGUUGCUGGAGGUAUCAGAAGUGCGAAUGCUGACAUAAGUAACGAUAAAGCGGGUGAAAAGCCCGCUCGCCGGAAGACCAAGGGUUCCUGUCCAACGUUAAUCGGGGCAGGGUGAGUCGACCCCUAAGGCGAGGCCGAAAGGCGUAGUCGAUGGGAAACAGGUUAAUAUUCCUGUACUUGGUGUUACUGCGAAGGGGGGACGGAGAAGGCUAUGUUGGCCGGGCGACGGUUGUCCCGGUUUAAGCGUGUAGGCUGGUUUUCCAGGCAAAUCCGGAAAACCAAGGCUGAGGCGUGAUGACGAGGCACUACGGUGCUGAAGCGACAAAUGCCCUGCUUCCAGGAAAAGCCUCUAAGCAUCAGGUAACAUCAAAUCGUACCCCAAACCGACACAGGUGGUCAGGUAGAGAAUACCAAGGCGCUUGAGAGAACUCGGGUGAAGGAACUAGGCAAAAUGGU
rnacentral:rRNA from 1 species